rnacentral:misc_RNA from 1 species
GAUGAAGAACGUAGCGAAAUGCGAUAAGUAAUGUGAAUUGCAGAAUUCAGUGAAUCAUCGAAUCUUUGAACGCACAUUGCGCCCACCAGUAUUCUGGCGGGCAUGCCUGUUCGAGCGUCAUUUCAACCCUCAAGACCCCUUCGGGGGACUUGGUGUUGGGGACCGGCACAGGGGCCUGCCUGCUUGUCUUGCAGCGCCCUCGCCGCCCCCGAAAUGAAUUGGCGGCCUCGUCGCGGCCUCCCCUGCGUAGUAGCACAAACCUCGCAACGGGAACGUGACGGCGGCCACUGCCGUAAAACAACCCAAUUUUAUUAGAGUUGACCUCGAAUCAGGUAGGAAUACCCGCUGAACUUAAGCAUAUCAAUAAGCGGAGGA